ACUAGAAGUGGUGCUGCCAGACUGGCUGGCCUCAGAGUCCCCGACAGAUCGUAUUUUCAUAUUUGGUAUUUUGCUCAUCUGCCUUUUUUGGUGUGUGCAUUAAUUUUGCUUUUAAAAAAUAUACUGCAUUAAAAUGUUAUCUUGGAUACCCAGUUUUUUUGGCGCCCAUUUAAAUUUUGCCUCGCAGACAAGUGAGGGAAGUACUACCCAGCUGGUAUCCACUCCCCUCUACUGCCUGGCAUGGAUUCUCACAGCAAGCUCCCGCAGUUGGGGUUACUGACUCCCCUGGAUAUUUCAGAAGGGGAAAAACCGAAGCUCAGAGUUGCAGAUACCGAAUGUUCUUCCUGUGUCUGUGACCACCAGGCUGUAAGCAUGCGUGCAUCUUUACCGAGGGCCCGGCACCAGGCCUGAUGCAUUCAGGUGCCUAAUCAUAGUUGUCAGCGAAGAGCACCUUUUCCAGAUGAGGAAACCAAGGUACAAAGAGAAGAAGUGGUCUACCUUGAAAACAAUCCAGCUCCUGUGAUGUUUCUGCACAACCUUCCCUGGAAGAGGAGGAUUUUAUAUGUUUGCAAACUGGUGGACUUUGUUACCUGUACCCAAAGCACAAGCUGAGUGAGCUCACCGAGGGGCAUUGUUUUCCUACCGGGACAGCUUUCAGGAGAGAAGACAGAGAACUUUCCUCCUUACUUAGGAAGCUCAGCCCCAUUUCUCCUCUAACCAUCUUAACCAGAGGCUUCUGGCUAAAGGCAGCUGUCUGGGAGCCCCGGAGCCCGGGUUCCGGCGCUGACUCUGGCUCUGGUGCAAACAUGCUUUGGGAUUCAGAGCAGUCCCUCACCCUCUCUACACCUUUGUUUCCUUGGCAGUAAACCAGUAGGCUGGACUAGAGCCGUGCUGCUCAAGUGCAUCAUCUGAGGAUGUUGUUAAAAUGCAGUCUGAUUCCGGCGGUCUGGGGUGGGGCUUUUCUAACAAACUUCCUGGUGAUGAUGCCGUUGCUCCUGCCAGUCUUUGGACCAGCUUUGAGUGGCAAGGACCUAGAGGGCUUCUGGGGUCACUUCUGGCUCUGACUUUGAGCCCUGGCAUCAGGCACGUGGAGACUGACAAACAGUUGCCCGGAUUUGGGCCAGCGAGGGCAGUAAAAAAUGUGAAAUGAUGCCAAGGGUCCUUUCAACCAACAGUUACAAAAAUCAUCAUUGUCAUUAUCAUCAUCAUCAUCAUCAUCAACAACAACAAACAUUUGUGCAGUGCAUUUCGCUGUCCAGAGCAGCUGUCACAUCCUUGAACCCAGUUGACCUCUGCAUGCACCCUGGUGGGAGAGGAGGACAUGGCCGGGGACUCUAUUCAGACCUAGCCAGAGGAUCUGGGCAAGAGCACAAUAGCCCCCUAAACUAUUGUUUCCCCUCGGCCCUUUGAUUUUCUUAGCAUUUUUUUUGGUGUCUGCUCUCUGACCCCUUCUUCCUUUGUCUCCUAAUGCACCUCUUCCCGGUUCCUAAUUCUCCCCUCCCCCAACAUACUCAUACACAAUGUCAGAGGGAGAAAAUCAGUGCAUCCACCCCCAGAUUUCCCACUUUUGAUCCUCUCUCCCCUCUGAGCAAAUAGACCCCAGACUCAGGGAUUGGAAUCUUGGCUCAUUUCAGGGCAACCUGGGGCAAAUCACUUCACCUCCUUAAUGUCCCUCUUCUUAUUUGUAACAAUGGUAAUUUUCCUUAAAGUGGCAUUUGUUGACACUAUGCUCAGUGACUCCAACCUUACCAUAACCCUAGGGAGUAGGAACUAUGACUAUCUCCAUUUAGUGGAUGGGGAAACUGAGGAUUUAGGGAGUUUACCGGCCCAAAGUCACCAGCUGGUCAGUGGUGGAGUCAGGACAUCAAACCAUGGCUGAUUGACAUCAAAGAUCACUGUAGAUUCACAUUCAGUUGUAAGAAAUCAUACUGAGAGAGCUAGUGCAACCUCUGUGCAGUCUUCCGUAGUGAAAAUGUCUUGCCAAGCUAUCCUAAGAUAUCAAUCAAUAUAUUGAUAUUGAUGGAAUCCACCAAACUUAGAUUUCCUCACUUUUACAUGUACUUAUGUGUGUGUGUCUAUAUACACACACAUAUAUAUUUAGUUCUGUGCAAUUUUAGCGUAUUUGUAGGUCCACGCAUUUACCACUACAGUCAAGACACCAAACAACCCCGUCACCACAAGGACCCUUCGUGGUGCCCAUAUAUAACCAUACCUACUUCUCUUCCCUAACUCUGAAUCCCUAACCCUGCAACCACUAAAUCUGUUCUCCAGAUCUAUAAUUUUGUGAUUUCAAGAAUGUUUUAUAAAUGGAAGCAUACAUUUAUAUGAUUUUAGGGUUGACUUUUUUCACCCAGCAUCAUUCCCUUGAGACCCACCCAAGUUGUUUCAUGGACUAAUGGUUCAUUCCUCCUCCCUGCUGAGUGGUGUUCCAUGGUAUGGAACCAUUCAUCUGCUGAAGGACGUUUGAGUUUCCAGUUUCUGUCUAUUGUGAAUAAAGCUGCAAUGAACGUUUGUGUACA